AUGCAAGUCGAACGAGCUUCCGUUGAAUGACGUGCUUGCACUGAUUUCAACAAUGAAGCGAGUGGCGAACUGGUGAGUAACACGUGGGAAAUCUGCCCAGAAGCAGGGGAUAACACUUGGAAACAGGUGCUAAUACCGUAUAACAACAAAAUCCGCAUGGAUUUUGUUUGAAAGGUGGCUUCGGCUAUCAGUUCUGGAUGAUCCCGCGGCGUAUUAGUUAGUUGGUGAGGUAAAGGCCCACCAAGACGAUGAUACGUAGCCGACCUGAGAGGGUAAUCGGCCACAUUGGGACUGAGACACGGCCCAAACUCCUACGGGAGGCAGCAGUAGGGAAUCUUCCACAAUGGACGAAAGUCUGAUGGAGCAAUGCCGCGUGAGUGAAGAAGGGUUUCGGCUCGUAAAACUCUGUUGUUAAAGAAGAACACCUUUGAGAGUAACUGUUCAAGGGUUGACGGUAUUUAACCAGAAAGCCACGGCUAACUACGUGCCAGCAGCCGCGGUAAUACGUAGGUGGCAAGCGUUGUCCGGAUUUAUUGGGCGUAAAGCGAGCGCAGGCGGUUUUUUAAGUCUGAUGUGAAAGCCUUCGGCUUAACCGGAGAAGUGCAUCGGAAACUGGGAGACUUGAGUGCAGAAGAGGACAGUGGAACUCCAUGUGUAGCGGUGGAAUGCGUAGAUAUAUGGAAGAACACCAGUGGCGAAGGCGGCUGUCUAGUCUGUAACUGACGCUGAGGCUCGAAAGCAUGGGUAGCGAACAGGAUUAGAUACCCUGGUAGUCCAUGCCGUAAACGAUGAGUGCUAAGUGUUGGAGGGUUUCCGCCCUUCAGUGCUGCAGCUAACGCAUUAAGCACUCCGCCUGGGGAGUACGACCGCAAGGUUGAAACUCAAAGGAAUUGACGGGGGCCCGCACAAGCGGGGGAGCAUGUGGUUUAAUUCGAAGCUACGCGAAGAACCUUACCAGGUCUUGACAUCUUCUGCCAAUCUUAAAGAU
rnacentral:rRNA from 2 species